AGCUUGCUGGGGGGAUUAGUGGCGAACGGGUGAGUAACACGUGAGUAACCUGCCCUUGACUCUGGGAUAAGCCUGGGAAACUGGGUCUAAUACCGGAUAUGACUCCUCAUCGCAUGGUGGGGGGUGGAAAGCUUUUGUGGUUUUGGAUGGACUCGCGGCCUAUCAGCUUGUUGGUGGGGUAAUGGCCUACCAAGGCGACGACGGGUAGCCGGCCUGAGAGGGUGACCGGCCACACUGGGACUGAGACACGGCCCAGACUCCUACGGGAGGCAGCAGUGGGGAAUAUUGCACAAUGGGCGCAAGCCUGAUGCAGCGACGCCGCGUGAGGGAUGACGGCCUUCGGGUUGUAAACCUCUUUCAGUAGGGAAGAAGCCUUUCGGGGUGACGGUACUUGCAAAAGAAGCGCCGGCUAACUACGUGCCAGCAGCCGCGGUAAUACGUAGGGCGCAAGCGUUAUCCGGAAUUAUUGGGCGUAAAGAGCUCGUAGGCAGUUUGUCCCGUCUGCUGUGAAAGACCGCGGCUCCAC
rnacentral:rRNA from 2 species